UCAAAAUCUUAUUUAUGGUCGGAUUAGUACCUGAUGGUAAUAAGAUCUAAUUUAUGCCUAGUUGCAUAAUGUAAAUUAAAAGUAUUAUUAGUAUACAAUCUAAAAUAUACUUAACAAAGAGGCACAAGUUACACAUAAAUAAACAUUUGUAUUAUAGAAAUAUUGAAAAACCUUCAUCUAAGCUUCUAUUUGAUUACUAUAGAAGUCAACCGACAACUAACGUAUCCUCAGUUCCCAAGACGGCGCGACAUUCAAAUUUAGUAGUUCCAUUAAAAACAGUUACAGUGUGUUGAAAUGGUGAGAUACGGCUUAGCAUUAUUGGCAAUUAUCCAAGAUAAAGCGAUCGUCUGGGAUUGAGCAAUCAGUGACUCCGCUGUAAAUUAGAUUCUGUGCCGUAAUGAGGGCUUUACUCUGAUACUGUCUAGCCGAUUAACACAAUCUCUCACUAACUCUCCCAGUGUCAUCUCGCUCUCUACUAAAACUGUGAUGUCAAAGUUAUGUGGAAGCGAAAACCUGCGGUUAUAACAUCCUUAAGGAUUUCAUAGGCAAGGAUUUCACUGGAAGACGGCGAAGUAAUAAAUUACAUAGUUGUGCAAGGAUGAAAUUAUUAACGAAAGUUUUAUGGUACAUUUUAGUUUUACUCAUGACUAUGAGUAUGUAAUUGAUUUCGUUUUAGUAUAGAAUGUAACACG